GAUUCCCCUAGUAACUGCGAGUGAAGCGGGAAAAGCUCAAAUUUAAAAUCUGGUAGUCUCUGGCUGCCCGAGUUGUAAUCUAGAGAAGCAUUAUCCGCGCUGGACCGUGUACAAGUCUCCUGGAACGGAGCGUCAUAGAGGGUGAGAAUCCCGUCUUUGACACGGACUACCAGGGCUUUGUGAUGUGCUCUCAAAGAGUCGAGUUGUUUGGGAAUGCAGCUCUAAAUGGGUGGUAAAUUCCAUCUAAAGCUAAAUAUUGGCGAGAGACCGAUAGCGAACAAGUACCGUGAGGGAAAGAUGAAAAGAACUUUGGAAAGAGAGUUAAACAGUACGUGAAAUUGUUGAAAGGGAAACGCUUGAAGUCAGUCACGUCUAUUGGGGAUCAGCCUUGCUCUUUUGCUUGGUCUAUUUCCUGAUAAACGGGUCAGCAUCAAUUUCGUCCGAUGGAAAAAGGUCAGGGGAAUGUGGCAUCUUCGGAUGUGUUAUAGCCCUUGGCUGCAUACAUCGGUUGGGAUUGAGGAAUUCAGCACGCCGCAAGGCCGGGUCUUUGACCACGUUCGUGCUUAGGAUGCUGGCAUAAUGGCUUUAAUCGACCCGUCUUGAAACACGGACCAAGGAGUCUAACAUGCCUGCGAGUGUUUGGGUGGAAAACCCAUGCGCGUAAUGAAAGUGAAAGUUGAGAUCCCUGUCGUG
rnacentral:rRNA from 1 species